UAACAAGGAUUCCCCUAGUAACGGCGAGUGAAGCGGGAAGAGCUCAAAUUUGUAAUCUGGUCGCUUUGCGAUCCGAGUUGUAAUCUCGAGAAGCGUUAUCCGUGCCGGCCCACGCAUGAGUCUGUUGGAAUGCAGCGUCAAAGAGGGUGAGAACCCCGUUCGUGGUGUGGAUUACCGGUGCAUUGCGUUGCGCUUUCGAAGAGUCGCGUUGUUUGGGAAUGCAGCGCUAACGGGUGGUAAAUUCCAUCUAAAGCUAAAUAUUGGCGAGAGACCGAUAGCGAACAAGUACCGUGAGGGAAAGAUGAAAAGCACUUUGGAAAGAGAGUUAAAUAGCACGUGAAAUUGUUGAAAGGGAAACGCUUGAAGUCAGACAUGCGAUCGAGGUUCAGCCGCAAGGUGUACUCCUCGUCCCGCAGGCUAGCAUCAGUUUGGAAGGUCGGAUAAGGGGGAGGGGAAGGUGGCUCCCUCGGGAGUGUUAUAGCCCCUCUCUGGAUACGGCUUUUGAGACUGAGGAAUGCAACGCGCCUUUAUGGCAGGGGAUUCGUCCUCUUCCGCGUCAAGGAUGCUGGCGUAA
rnacentral:rRNA from 1 species